AAAAAAAAUUUUAAAUAUAUUUUUAGUUGUCCAUAGACCUUUAUUUAUAUGCAGUGCUGAGACUCGAACCCAGUGCCUCACACAUGCUGGGCAAGCGCUCUACUGCUGAGCUACAAUUACAGCUCUGAUUUGUGAAAUUUUUUAACCAGAAAUACCUAGACUCAAGUUGUGGUGUCAGGAUGAACCACAUAAAAUUACUCACAGGCAAUUAGUUUUUGACCUGCAAAAAUGGCAGUUUCACUGGGUUUAAAUAUGUAUUUCAAAUUUGUUUUUUCCUUGUCAUGAAAGUUCACAAUACACCAAUUAAAAUUUGAGGUCUAUAUUACAAUCUUCAAAAUGAAGCCAAAAAAACCCACCCCAAACCCCCAAAUGAAAAUGAAGUUGAAUCCAGGUAGAUAUUUCUUUUAUCUUUCCUAGGUAUAGAAUCCUAAGAAAACUGCAGUUACCACCUUACUAGCAAUUUGGUUUCUAUGCCUCAAAACAAUGGCUGCCCUGCCUUCUAGAGGUAAGGCCAAUUGGAGGAUCAACUUUUAGUGAAACUACUUAUUCUGCCAGUUGGUUCUUAAGUCAGACUCAUGUCCACUGUACCUCUACCAAAUCUUUUAUCUUAUGUGUCAGCAUUUCUGCUUAGUGAGUGAUGUUACAGGAUGUAAAUUAUACUAGUUUAUGAUAGGUGUUUUUCCCUUCUAAAUUAAAUCAGAUCAUUUAUCCUAAUCAGCAAUGUAUCAAGAACAAAGUGAUCAUUUAAAGACUCAACCUUAGGUACCAAAAGUACCUCAUGUUCUAAAUCUACAUUAUGCCUUUCUUUUCUCUUGGCAUGUGUUCCCUAAUUUUUUCUUUUAAUCUGCUUUUCCUUCUCAGGGAGAAUAACAACUAUUCAAAGAUGCCAUCUAAUGCACUAUCCCACUAACUACUGUGGCCAGUGAUUUUUAAGCAUAAUAAACUGCUUUCAAGUGGAAGAGAACCUAAGCACAAUAAAUGAAUUGCUAUACCUUCAGCAGAGGCAUAGGUCAU
rnacentral:lncRNA from 1 species